GAUGAACGCUGGCGGCGUGCCUAACACAUGCAAGUCGAACGAACCCGAUUCUUCGGAUGAAGGGUUAGUGGCGCACGGGUGAGUAACACGUAGGUGACCUACCCCAGAGUGGGGGACAACUUCUCGAAAGAGGAGCUAAUACCCCAUAUGCUCAGUCAUUCGGUUGAUUGAGUAAAGCUCCGGCGCUCUGGGAGGGGCCUGCGUCCGAUUAGCUAGUUGGUGGGGUAAUGGCCUACCAAGGCGAUGAUCGGUAGCUGGUCUGAGAGGACGAUCAGCCACACUGGCACUGACACACGGGCCAGACUCCUACGGGAGGCAGCAGUGAGGAAUAUUGCGCAAUGGGCGAAAGCCUGACGCAGCAACGCCGCGUGAAGGAUGAAGGCCUUCGGGUCGUAAACUUCUUUUCUGGGAGAAGAGACAAGGAC
rnacentral:rRNA from 1 species